rnacentral:rRNA from 1 species
AGGACGAACGCUGGCGGCGUGCCUAAAACAUGCAAGUCGAACGGUGUAGCAAUACACAGUGGCGAACGGCGGAGUAAUACAUAAGCAACGUGCCCUGAAGACUGGGAUAGUCAGAGGAAACUCUGGGUAAUACCAGAUGUGGCCCCUUUCCGGCAUCGGAGAGUGGUUAAAUGGUUUUUCGCUUCUGGAGCGGCUUAUGGCCUAUCAGGUAGUUGGUGAGGUAACGGCUCACCAAGGCUUCGACGGGUA